GCUCGCAAGUAGCAAUUUGAGAGCGGCAUAAAUUGGGGAAUUUUAUGGACUCAGGUCUGCAUGGUUUUAUUGCAAGAGUGUAAAUAAGCAUGGCAAUGUUUCCAAUGCUACAUUCUUCACAGGGUCACAGUGAUGAAACACGCCACAUCACAAAUAUUAAUCUGUGUAUGAAUUAAAUCCUGAUGAGCUUUGGGAGAGCCAGAGGUGCAUGGACGAAAUCAUGUUUUGUCAUCAGGUUUUCACCAAUAAAAUAAUAAAAAAUAGCAUUAAGAAGAAUUAACAUACUCUCUGCCAGCUCGGCAGUCACUGCAAAAAGAUAUUUGUUAGGGAGAAAAAUCCCGCUUAUGGUGAAAUUCCACACGUGCUCUAAAUCAAACAUUUAAAAGGUAAUCCACAGAUGCAGCAGAUACUAUACAGGCAGUACUUUGUACUUAACAAAAGCCUGAACAUAAUGCAACCCUGCAAGAUCCUAUCACAUAUUAUCCUGCUAUUGUACUCUACAGAACCAGUACACAAUACCUGACAUACUUUCAUCUGCUCUUUAUUUCUUUCAUGUGUGUGCACGCAAGCAUGCACGUGUCUUUACGAAUUAGAAGAUGCACUAUAUUAUACUGAGCAUACAUAUAUAUAAAAAAAAAAAAAAACCCAGCACGCCCCUGCGGGCGGUUUUAUCCUUCAAGCUCGGGUCCUCUACCAGAGGCCUGGGAGCUUGAGGGUCCUGCGCAGUAUCUUAGCUGUUCCCAGGACUGCGCUCUUCUGGACAGAGAUCUCCGAUGUUGUUCCCGGGAUCUGCUGGAGCCACUCGCCUAGCUUGGGAGUCACCGCACCUAGUGCUCCGAUUACCACGGGGACCACUGUUACCUUCACCCUCCACAUCCUCUCGAGCUCUUCUCUGAGACCUUGGUAUUUCUCCAGCUUCUCGUGUUCCUUCUUCCUGAUGUUGCUGUCAUUUGGAACCGCUACAUCGAUCACUACGGCCGUCUUCUUCUGUUUGUCUACCACCACUAUGUCCGGUUGGUUAGCCACCACCAUUUUGUCCGUCUGUAUCUGGAAGUCCCACAGGAUCUUAGCUCGGUCAGCUCGGUCAACCCCAGCGGAAGGGGCU
ensembl:lncRNA